ACGACUGUGGUGAAAUGGCUAUCAUGCGACCUUGCCACGAGGAUAUGUAACAUUGGUCGCGGUCGGGGUUCGAUUCCCCGCGGUCGUA